AUUGAACGCUGGCGGCAGGCCUUACACAUGCAAGUCGAACGAGUGGCGGACGGGUGAGUAAUAUCUGGGAACCUGCCUGAUGGAGGGGGAUAACUACUGGAAACGGUAGCUAAUACCGCAUACCAUCAGAUGUGCCCAGAUGGGAUUAGCUAGUUGGUGGGGUAAAGGCUCACCAAGGCAACGAUCCCUAGCUGGUCUGAGAGGACGACCAGCCACACUGGGACUGAGACACGGUCCAGACGCCUACGGGAGGCAGCAGUGGGGAAUAUUGGACAAUGGGGGCAAGCCUGAUGCAGCCAGGCCGCGUGUAUGAAGAAGGCCUUCGGGUUGUAAAGUACUUUCAGCGGGGAGGCGUUACCCGCAGAAGAAGCACCGGCUAACUCCGUGCCAGCCGCCGCGGUAAUAC
rnacentral:rRNA from 1 species